GAAGCCUCCUUCGGGAGGUUAGUAGACCGGCGGACGGGUGCGUAACACGUGAGCAACCUGCCUGGUAGAUGGGGACAACCCGGGGAAACCCGGGCUAAUACCCAAUGAAUGUGGUUUCUUCGAGUGUAGAGAUCACUAAAGGGGGCGUCUUUUCACGGAGCUCUCGCUUCCAGAUGGGCUCGCGGCCUAUCAGCUUGUUGGUGAGGUAACGGCUCACCAAGGCGAUGACGGGUAGCUGGUUUAAGCGGAUGAUCAGCCACACGGGGACUGAGACACGGCCCCGACUCCUACGGGAGGCAGCAGUGGGGAAUUUUGGACAAUGGGCGAAAGCCUGAUCCAGCGACGCCGCGUGCGGGAGGAAGCCCCUCGGGGUGUAAACCGCUGUCAGGGGGGAAGAACAGGUUCGGACGAAUAAUCCGGAUCACUGACGGUACCUCCAGAGGAAGCGCCGGCUAACUCCGUGCCAGCAGCCGCGGUAAUACGGAGGGCGCAAGCGUUGUCCGGAAUUACUGGGCGUAAAGGGGGCGCAGGCGGCUUGCUAAGUCCUGUGUGAAAGCCCGCGGCUCAACCGCGGAAAUGCACUAGAUACUGGCGAGCUUGAGACGGGUAGAGGCGAGUGGAAUUCCCGGUGUAGCGGUGGAAUGCGUAGAUAUCGGGAAGAACACCAGUGGCGAAGGCGACUCGCUGGGCCCGUUCUGACGCUCAGGCCCGAAAGCGUGGGGGAGCAAACAGGAUUAGAUACCCUGGUAGUCCACGCCGUAAACGAUGGGCACUAGGUGCUGGGGAGUGUGACCUCUUCGG
rnacentral:rRNA from 1 species